rnacentral:rRNA from 1 species
CGGAGGGUGCAAGCGUUAUCCGGAUUCACUGGGUUUAAAGGGUGCGUAGGAGGGCAGGUAAGUCAGUGGUGAAAUCUUCGAGCUUAACUCGGAAACUGCCGUUGAUACUAUCUGUCUUGAAUACCGUGGAGAUGAGCGGAAUAUGUCAUGUAGCGGUGAAAUGCUUAGAUAUGACAUAGAACACCAAUUGCGAAGGCAGCUCGUUACACGAAUAUUGACUCUGAGGCACGAAAGCGUGGGGGAUCAAACAGGAUUAGAUACCCUGGUAGUCCACGCCCUAAACGAUGGAUACUCGACAUACGCGAUACACUGUGUGUGUCUGAGCGAAAGCAUUAAGUAUCCCACCUGGGAAGUACGACCGCAAGGUUG